AUGAAAUGGAAAAUGCUACUGGAAACGACAAUCACAUUCAAUCGCAUUUGGACAUGUAGUUCCAUCUAAAAGCAAAAAGGGGAACUAUUUCAACGGGGGGGUGCUGAUAUGGAAAACAUAAAAACUGAAUAAUUGAUUCCUUUUGAAAAUACAACAAGUUGAGAAUUGACAUAGAAUGUACUAAUGUGUACAGCAGAACAAAUGAGUCCGAAAUUUUUCAUAGGGUUCCAUUUCGUUAAUAGAAUUAUAAAGUUCGUGUGCUUAUUUUACCGCGAAAUUGCACGAAACAAAUUAGCCGUUACACGCGAAAAUUGAAGUCACGAUGAACGCGUUGAAUCCAAUUAGUUCAAAGAAGUUUUAUGGAGAACGGGGAAUCAAAAGAAAAAACUUUGUUAGUAUAUCACCUUGGAUAAAAGUUUCUCGAAAAAUGCCAUCAAACAUUUUAGGACCACCAAACUUUUGGAAGGAAUACGAGAAACAAGCUGAUGCUCUAGCUACAGCUUUCAAAGAAAGCAACGAUGUUGAUAUGCUUUCUACUUUUGUUUACCAAAAUGACAAUGGUUACCGUAAAUUCGUGGUUGCUCAUCCUGAAAUAUAUUGGUGGCAUUACGUACAUCGACCAGCUGAAAAAAGAUGCUCUUACGAGAUAAUCCCAGAAAAUCGUCCUUGCCGAUUAUAUCUGGAUUUAGAGUACACGAUUGAAAUGAAUCCAGAAAGCGAUGGUACCUCUAUGACGAAAACAUUGAUCGAUAUUUUUAAUGCAUAUUUUCUUAUGCAUUGGGCUUUACCUUCAAAUAUAAAUAACGUGCUCAACUUGGAUUCGAGUACAAAUGAAAAAUUUAGCAGACAUAUUAUAUUUAAUAUUAAAAAUGUUGCAUUUAAAGAUAACUAUCAUGUUGGUAGAUUUGUAAAAUCUAUAUGCAAUGAUAUCUUGGAUUACAUUUUGUCAAAAAAGGAAGAGCAUAAUAUUCUAGGCUCAUUUGAUAGGGCAAAACUGGAACAAUUAAUUGUUCAAACUAAAAAUGAUAAAAAAUUGUUUAUCGAUACCAGUGUUUAUACAAAAAACAGACACUUUAGAAUAUAUAAAUCUACCAAAUGGGGAAAACAAUCUAAUUUGGUAAUCUCCAAGGAUUCCAAAUAUAUUCCCUCCAUCUUAUAUAAUGACAGAGAGUUAAACAUAUUUUUAGAUUCAUUGAUAUCUUAUUUUACUAGCAAGAAGGAUUUAAUAUUAUUGGAAUAUUCUGAGAAUAAUGUAGAAGCAAAGCAUUUCAAAGGACAGAUACAGCAGUAUAAUUUUAACAAAAACAGUCAUUCUAACUGUAAUUCGCGAUAUUCCGUAUUAGACAAAUAUAUUCGUAAUUUAAUUCUUCCUGGAAAAAUACGUCUAUGUAAACAUUUUACUUCUGCCAAAAUAUUAGUCUACGAAACAUCUGGAUACAGAUACUGUGAAAAUAUUGGUAGAUGCCACAAAAGUAACAAUGUUUCUUUGUUUGUGAACUUAAAAAGUAAAACGAUGUAUCAAAGGUGUUAUGACGAAGAUUGUUCUGGUUUUCAAUCAGAACCAAAACAAUUACCAGAAGAAGUUUGCUUUGAUAUCGACGAAGAAGGAGAUAUGCUUGUGAAUUGUGUUACUAUAAUAGAGGACAGAACAGAAUAUUAACUAACAAAACAGAGCAUAACAAGUUGUUCUACAGAUUAUAUCAACAUUUUUUAUUAAGGUACACCAUAUAUGGCAUUCUUCCCUUAGUAUCACCUUACAAAAAUCUGUAACUUUAAAAUGGUGAAUGGAAACUGUCUACUAUUAAAUCUCAGAUUACAAAAUUAUCGUGCAAUAUUAUGCUUUGCUAUAAACAUUUUA